AACGAACGCUGGCGGCAGGCCUAAUACAUGCAAGUCGAACGCUGUAGCAAUACAGAGUGGCGCACGGGUGAGUAACGCGUGGGAACAUGCCCUUGGGUGCGGAACAACGUCUGGAAACGGACGCUAAUACCGCAUAAUAUCUACGGAUCAAAGAUUUAUCGCCCAAGGAUUGGCCCGCGUUAGAUUAGCUAGUUGGUGAGGUAAUGGCUCACCAAGGCUACGAUCAUAGCUGGUCUGAGAGGAUGAUCAGCCACACUGGGACUGAGACACGGCCCAGACUCCUACGGGAGGCAGCAGUAAGGAAUAUUGGACAAUGGAGGAAACUCUGAUCCAGCCAUGCCGCGUGUGUGAU
rnacentral:rRNA from 1 species